AGAUAGAAGAUACGUAAGAGUCUU
rnacentral:snRNA from 1 species